GACGAACGCUGGCGGCGUGCCUAAUACAUGCAAGUAGAACGCACAGAUUAUACCGUAGCUUGCUACACCAUAGACUGUGAGUUGCGAACGGGUGAGUAACGCGUAGGUAACCUGCCUGGUAGCGGGGGAUAACGAUUGGAAACGAUAGCUAAUAUAGCAUAAUAUUAAUUAUUGCAUGAUAAUUAAUUGAAAGGUGCAAUUGCACCACUACUAGAUGGACCUACGUUGUAUUAGCUAGUAGGUGAGGUAGCGGAGCACCUAGGCGACGAUACAUAGCCGACCUGAGAGGGUGAUCUGCGACACUGGGACUGAGAGACGGCCCAGACUCCUCCAGGAGGCGGCAGUAGGGGAUCUUCGGCAAUGGACGAAAGUCUGACCGAGCAACGCCGCGUGAGUGAAGAAGGUUUUCGGAUCGUAAAGCGCUGUUUUAAGGGAAGAACGGGUGUGAGGGUGGAAAGUUCACACUGUGACGGUAUCUUACCAGAAAGAGACGGCUUACUACGUU
rnacentral:rRNA from 1 species